CGGGCCGGACAGGCGGUCGCCGCUCUCGACGCUUCGGCUGAAGGAGGGGAGGAAAGUCCGGACUCCCGCGGGCAGCGUGCCGGAGAAAUUCCGGUCGGGGUAACCCGAAGGAAAGUGGCACAGAAAACAUACCGCCGACGCGCCGCAAGGCGCAGGUAAGGGUGAAAAGGUGCGGUAAGAGCGCACCGCGGUUCCGGCAACGGAACUGGCAGGCGAAACCCCACGCGGAGCAAGGCCAAAUAGGGUGACGGAAGGGGCGCCCGCCCUCGCGGCUUCGGCCGACGUCACCGGGUAGGUCGCUCGAGCCCGUCCGAAAGGCCGGGCCUGGAGGAAUGACCGCCGGCCGGAAGGCGCGAGCCGACCGGUUACAGAAUCCGGCUUAUCGUCCGGCCCGAGUC
rnacentral:RNase_P_RNA from 1 species